UCGGGUACCACCGGCCGGCGUUAUCUAACUGUACCAACAAAUAAAACGAAAACGGAACCACUAAUAGGAGCUGCCUUCGCCGAUUUUAAAAACCACGCGAGUCUGCUGCUGACUGAGUGCAACAUAGUCAAUAUCUUGAUCGUGAAAAACAGUUACAUGCUAAUAGAAUGAACAUUCGCAAUGUCGCAGAAGCAGCCAUAAAUUCUAUCAAGAGCACGCUCACUUUAGGAAGAUUGCGGCGGAGAUUUAAAGAGACUGGUGAUUUGAGAGAAGGACAAACUGGUCUAACAGAAGCUAUCGGGUUUUUAACAGCAAACAAAUACCGAGAUCUAAUUCUGGAACCCAUUACUCCUCACGACCGUAUGUUGCAAGAACCUCUACUGUCCUCUAGAAACUUUUUGGAGUAUAGCUUGAUAUUCAAGUACAACCUUGGCCUGCGUAAUCUCCCGACUUAAAUCCUAUCGAGCACGCUCGCGAUAUGUUGAAAAGAAGGUGUGUUUUAAAUAAAUAGAGUUUCAGACAAGUGAAAAGUUGCUAAGCUGUAUGCAAGAUUAAUUAAUGACAUUUAAUUAGGACCAUGCCAAACAGAUAUCGAGUAGUCAUCAAAGAUUUGUUUAUAUUUCAUUUCUUUAA